CGUACCAAGAUAUCCAGUCUUUAAUUUUCCAACAUCUUAUUCACCUAGAAAAUAAGAUGAAAUAUCCAUUCGAAAAAUAAGCACAGAUAAAGCGGAGAGAGGAAUAUAUCCCAUAUCACCGACAAAGUUUUUUCUAUUUGACGCACUUGCCCCAUAAUGCAGAAUGCAGAAGCAAGAAAAAUGCUAGAAAAAUGCAGAUUCUGAUCGCUACUAUCUCAUAUAAUAUAUUCAAAUAUUAGUUUUUUACGUAUAAAUUGUAACUAUGUAUAUUUUUAUACUCUUUAUAACAUAUUCUACUUACGAUUAUGAAUAUAUCGUUGUACGAAUGUAUUACGUCGAAUAAAUAAUACGUAUUAUGUAUAAUGAAAAAUAUUAUAAUUUUGGAAUACACAUAUCUUUUUUGUAUUUGUGUUUAUAACCAUGGUUAGCACGCUUAAAGAGAGAUUUAUUGCAGGAGCAAUAAAAAUAGUUACGCGAAAAUGAUAUAUUUACAUAAUUUAUUUUAUAUCUCAACAUCAUCUCAUCAUAUUAUAAUCAUCAUCGAGUCACAUAAUAGCAAAAGUAAUGUUAACAAAGAUUUGAAUUUUGGCAGGAACAGAUAAUAGGAAUGACGGAUAAUAAAAAUAAUGCAACAAAGGAGAGGAGAGGCGGAUGAAGGAAGAGAAUUCAUCCCGAUAACUUUUAAAAGGCAAUCGAUUUGAAAUCAAUUUACGGUUUUCAAUGUGGAGAGUACGGAAAAUGGGAGUACGGAAAUUGGAGAUAAAGCAAGAAAUGUAACGAAAAAGGGCUUAUGAUAUAAUCGUGAACUUAGCACGAACGGUCACUCCUAUAUGUGAGAUUUUCUAUUCUACAAUAAUUGUACUCCAAAUUUACAGCAUAGCAAAUGUACAUGGUACAACUAUUCACAUUCAGCCACCAAAUGCCCGGCAAACUAUUAUUGUAGGAACUGAACCCAUUCAUCUUGAGGCAUUUAACGCCGCCUUAAAUACUGCGAAUGAAUGUCGGAUAUCUAUUACACGAUAUUGCUAUCGGAUGACUGCGAAAAUUGAUUAAGUGUAAAGACGGUCAAAUAACUAAACAUUUUUAUUCGGAGAAGAAAGAUCCCAAAUGUUUGCCAACUAUUUUUAUAUUUCAAACUUCGUUUUAAUGUUGCUUACACAUGAAUGGUCCCGGUUGAUUAUCAGAAUUUGUUCUUGUUGAUAUAUGUAUUAUCGAAAUCUGUAUAUUUCUUUGACGGACCAUUCUGACAACCUACGCUUUCAGAGCGGUCUCACGUGUUAAUCACAGAAACAUCCGAAGCAAAAUCGAUAGGAAAUAAUGCGUUAAUUCAUAAUUUGCGGGAUAUGAUUGACAUUCGAUGAAUGUGUACGAUCCAAAAUACAGUGUCCAUAGGAGUAUACUCGUGCUAAUUCCAUAUAAUUCAUGUAAAAAUUGGAGUGUUGGAAUAAAUUCACAUAUCCGGCACAAAAAUAAUUAAAUCGCAAGAAAAAUUUAUAUAAUUAUAGAGAUUCUCAAUGUAUAAUUUUAAAAAACACCUAGCCAGGAAUCGUGAGCGCAGACUUAUUUAGCAAUAAACAAAACUAAUGAAAACUGUUAUAUAAUGUCGUAAAAUAUGAAAGUAACAAAGAAUGAAAUCCGAAUAAUGUUAAAAUAUUUCAUAUAGAGACAAGAGGAAAAAUAUCUCUAUAAUACAUCAAUUUUUGUGUCCUUGACUCGAUAAUGUUUCCUGACUUUUUUCCUAAACUUUUUCGAGCGUCUUGGUUGUCGGGAGGGAAAAGGAACUGUGCGCUCCGACUUUACAAAAAUUUACUUCGCUUAUAUUACAAUAACCUUCCCUCGAUUUAAAACACACACAUCAUUUUUUUUCAACCCUUAAUAUAUUAUUAUCAUAAAUAAAUUUGGUCUAUCGGUAAUAUUGUGAAUACGCCGGUACAAAUACUGGCAGUAUUUGGUUAAGUAAAAAUCAUGAUCACUAGAAGAGGUAACUUGUACGGGAUCGAUUGCGAUAUUGCAAGAACAAUUCUUCUCGUAAGUAUUUCAUACUUAUUUUUUUACAUUUCGCGCAAACACGCACAAAUACGUUGUUUUAAUGUCAUUUCGCAAAUUUGACGAAAGAAAUUUGUAUUGAAUGACGUAAACACGCACGUUACUACUUCCAGCAAACUUGAUUUGAUAUUCUUUAAUUGUCGGAGGUUUCGCAAAUCUAUCCACGACAGAAGCACAACUUCCCGAUUGGAUGUCAAUGAAAUACUUUCCUUCGUUCAACUAUCAUUUAUAUGUAAUAUAAUGCGAAAUAGAAUCAUUAAUGCCCUAUACGAUCGAUUUCUUAAAGAAAAAUCUUCAUAAUCGUAUGCUUACUUUUAUGAUCGUUAUUUCAUUGUCAGGUAAAUAUUUCACGAAAAUGAAUGCAGUAUACGUAGAUAUCUAUCAAAAAGAUGCGAAAGAGACUUUCAUUUCGACAGUCUGCACAGACCUCGAAUGAGCUUCACGAUAAGUGAUAAGUUGACACGCGACAAAGGCAAAAGAGAUAAAGCUACUUCGUGAAUAGAUCUACCAAAUGGAACCGAUAGAGGAGUGCUGUGAGUCAAGUAGAUCGGCUUGAAAAAACGGGCGUUGUAACAGGUGUCCUCGACAUUUCCAACUUGAUCUAUCAAGACUGCCCCGGUCAGCAUAUAUUGUAAACUAUCGCGAC